GAACUGCGAUAAGUAAUGUGAAUUGCAGAAUUCAGUGAAUCAUCGAGUCUUUGAACGCACAUUGCGCCCCCUGGCAUUCCGGGGGGCAUGCCUGUCCGAGCGUCAUUGCUGCCCUUCAAGCCCGGCUUGUGUGUUGGGUCGUCGUCCCCUCCGGGGGACGGGCCCGAAAGGCAGCGGCGGCACCGCGUCCGGUCCUCGAGCGUAUGGGGCUUCGUCACCCGCUCGAUAAGGACCGGCCGGGCGCCAGCCGGCGUCUCCAACCUUUUUUUCUCAGGUUGACCUCGGAUCAGGUAGGGAUACCCGCUGAACUUAAGC
rnacentral:misc_RNA from 1 species